rnacentral:rRNA from 1 species
AUUGAACGCUGGCGGCAUGCCUUACACAUGCAAGUCGAACGGCAGCACGGGAGCAAUCCUGGUGGCGAGUGGCGAACGGGUGAGUAAUAUAUCGGAACGUGCCCAGUAGUGGGGGAUAGCCCGGCGAAAGCCGGAUUAAUACCGCAUACGACCUGAGGGUGAAAGCGGGGGAUCGCAAGACCUCGCGCUAUUGGAGCGGCCGAUAUCAGAUUAGCUAGUUGGUGGGGUAAAGGCCUACCAAGGCUACGAUCUGUAGUUGGUCUGAGAGGACGACCAGCCACACUGGGACUGAGACACGGCCCAGACUCCUACGGGAGGCAGCAGUGGGGAAUUUUGGACAAUGGGCGCAAGCCUGAUCCAGCAAUGCCGCGUGCAGGAAGAAGGCCUCGGUU